UGAUCGCUCUAUCAUGCAGUCGAGCGAAUGAUGAGGAGCUUGCUCCUCUGAUUUAGCGGCGGACGGGUGAGUAACACGUGGGUAAUCUGCCUGUAAGACGGGGAUAACUCCGGGAAACCGGGGCUAAUACCGGAUAAUAAGAGAAGAAGCAUUUCUUCUUUUUGAAAGUCGGUUUCGGCUGACACUUACAGAUGAGCCCGCGGCGCAUUAGCUAGUUGGUGAGGUAACGGCUCACCAAGGCGACGAUGCGUAGCCGACCUGAGAGGGUGAUCGGCCACACUGGGACUGAGACACGGCCCAGACUCCUACGGGAGGCAGCAGUAGGGAAUCUUCGGCAAUGGGCGAAAGCCUGACCGAGCAACGCCGCGUGAGCGAUGAAGGCCUUCGGGUCGUAAAGCUCUGUUGUUAGAGAAGAACAAGUACGAGAGUAACUGCUCGUACCUUGACGGUACCUAACCAGAAAGCCACGGCUAACUACGUGCCAGCAGCCGCGGUAAUACGUAGGUGGCAAGCGUUAUCCGGAAUUAUUGGGCGUAAAGCGCGCGCAGGCGGUCUCUUAAGUCUGAUGUGAAAGCCCACGGCUCAACCGUGGAGGGUCAUUGGAAACUGGGAGACUUGAGUGCAGGAGAGAAAAGUGGAAUUCCACGUGUAGCGGUGAAAUGCGUAGAGAUGUGGAGGAACACCAGUGGCGAAGGCGGCUUUUUGGCCUGUAACUGACGCUGAGGCGCGAAAGCGUGGGGAGCAAACAGGAUUAGAUACCCUGGUAGUCCACGCCGUAAACGAUGAGUGCUAGGUGUUGGGGGGUUCCACCCUCAGUGCUGAAGUUAACACAUUAAGCACUCCGCCUGGGGAGUACGACCGCAAGGUUGAAACUCAAAGGAAUUGACGGGGGCCCGCACAAGCAGUGGAGCAUGUGGUUUAAUUCGAAGCAACGCGAGAACCUUACCAGGUCUUGACAUCCUUUGACACUCUAGAGAUAGAGCUUUCCCCUUCGGGGACAAAGUGACAGGUGUGCAUGAUGUCGUCAGCUCGUGUCGUGAGAUGUUGGGUUAAGUCCCGCACGAGCGCACCCAUGACGUAGUUGGCAGCAAUCAGUGGCACUCUAGUGACUGCGUGACAACGAAGGAGGUGGAGUGACGUCAUCAUCAUGCCCCUAGACCUGCUACCACUGCUACAUGCAUGAAUCCAG
rnacentral:rRNA from 2 species